AAGAAGGCCUGUGCGGACAAGCCCUGUGCGCACGGCACGCAGUAUACCUAGGCCUAGCGCAUGCAAAAGUAGGCCCGUGCGCCUGCAGCCUACAGUGCAUCGGCCAGGCACUGUCACCUCGGGUAGUGCACCGCCACUGCCUUGGGCAGCGCACUGCUACCGUCGUUGGUGGAGGAAAUUUUCCUCCCCCCAUUUUUUAUGCCAAGAAUCUUUUCUCUACUUUCUUCACCAGAUUUUGCC
rnacentral:lncRNA from 1 species